GACGAACGCUGGCGGCGUGCCUAAUACAUGCAAGUAGAACGCUGAAGGAGGAGCUUGCUCUUCUGGAUGAGUUGCGAACGGGUGAGUAACGCGUAGGUAACCUGCCUGGUAGCGGGGGAUAACUAUUGGAAACGAUAGCUAAUACCGCAUAAGAGUAGAUGUUGCAUGACAUUUACUUAAAAGGUGCAAUUGCAUCACUACCAGAUGGACCUGCGUUGUAUUAGCUAGUUGGUGGGGUAACGGCUUACCAAGGCGACGAUACAUAGCCGACCUGAGAGGGUGAUCGGCCACACUGGGACGGAGACACGGCCCAGACUCCUACGGGAGGCAGCAGGAGGGAAUCGUCGGCAAUGGACGGAAGUCUGACCGAGCAACGCCGCGGGAGGGAAGAAGGUUGUCGGAUCGUAAAGCUCUGUUGUAAGAGAAGAACGAGUGUGAGAGUGGAAAGUUCACACUGUGACGGUAUCUUACCAGAAAGGGACGGCUAACUACGUG
rnacentral:rRNA from 1 species